GGAACUAAUGAUAGAGGGAGAGAGAGCUUCGCGGAGGUGGUGGAUCUCGCACAGAGCCAAGGAGAACCGGCGGCGAUGUGGUUGGAGGUUAGGUUCUGGGCUCGGCGGAGGUGAGGCGCGUGGAAGAAGAAGAAAGAGAGAGAUGUGGUGGCUCUGUGUCGGUUGUGGGUACAGACGCCGGCUGCGGUGGUGAUGAUUGGAGGCUGAGGCGAGGCUAGGGUUCGGACAAGAGGGGAAGAAGACGGAGGCUGGACGCGAGCUGGAGGUGAUAUCGCGAAGAGGAGGGUCACGGUGGCUCGGCUAGUAAGAGCGAGGGAGGAGAAGGUGGCCGCCGCUGGUUGGUUGGUUUGGGCCUGCGCCUGGGCCUGGUUAUGAUCUGUUUUUUCUGCAUAUGAUGUUUCCGUGGCUUCGUGUUUGUGGAGGCUGAAAUUGAAGGACCUGACUCGUUCCAAAAGCGAGGAUGUUCGAACGAGUUGAGGCUGAGUGAACUCGCCGGUUCGGCAGUACUCGGCUUUGUGUCGUAAGUGUAUUGAUGAGUGAGUUUGAAGGAUCUGACUCGUUGCAGGAGGGAGGGUGAGCGAGUGAAAGGGUGUUGGAGUUCAUGUUCUUGAAUUCGGUUGUUGUGGGAGGAGGUGAAGCGGGAGGUGAUGGCAAUGGUGCCAAUGACGAGGUUGACAAAGAUGAAGAGGGAAGAAGGUGUUAACCAGCUGGCUAUGAGAAGCGUCAUUGAAGCUGUUGGUUCUGCCAUAGAGAGCUUGUUAGGGCAAAGAGUUUUGAUUUGGGGCAAAAUGAAAUCAAUUUCCACCUAGGCUAACAAAUUAAUUAAUUAAAAAUUACAACUCAAUUAAAAUAUGAUUUGUCAGCAUAAUCCGGUGUCCAGGUAAGUAUUGUC